rnacentral:rRNA from 1 species
UACGGAGGAUCCAAGCGUUAUCCGGAUUUAUUGGGUUUAAAGGGUGCGUAGGUGGUUUAUUAAGUCAGGGGUGAAAGACGGCAGCUUAACUGUCGCAGUGCCUUUGAUACUGAUGAACUUGAAUGAACUAGAGGUAGGCGGAAUGUGACAAGUAGCGGUGAAAUGCAUAGAUAUGUCACAGAACACCAAUUGCGAAGGCAGCUUACUAUGGUUUUAUUGACACUGAGGCACGAAAGCGUGGGGAUCAAACAGGAUUAGAAACCCCCGUAGUCC